GUGCUUGUUUGCUCAUAGCUGACAUUGGCAAAAUGUAAUAUAUGCAAAUACAUCCUGGGAAAAUGCAUUUUAAAUUCACUAUAUUGUUUACUAUAAUUCCAGGAUAUAAUACAGCAAGGACCACUAAAGACACAAACUGCAGGAUCCAUGUAACGGUUUACUUGCACACCAUCAGUAACAGCAGAUGUUUGGCAUUUUUGUAACCUGAAUAGAGCAUCACUGAGCAGAGUUCCUCCUCAUCGAUUUUAGAAAAACUAAGAAGUGCUGUUUAGCACUCAAUACAAU